rnacentral:rRNA from 1 species
UACGAAGGGGGCUAGCGUUGUUCGGAAUUACUGGGCGUAAAGGGCGCGUAGGCGGCUCUGAUCGUCGGAUGUGAAAGGCCUGGGCUCAACCUGGGAAUGGCAUCCGAUACGGCGGGGCUGGAGUGUGGGAGAGGUUGGUGGAAUUCCCAGUGUAGAGGUGAAAUUCGUAGAUAUUGGGAAGAACACCGGUGGCGAAGGCGGCGACCUGGUCCAUUACUGACGCUGAGGCGCGACAGCGUGGGGAGCAAACAGG